rnacentral:rRNA from 1 species
CCGGACCCUACUGCUAUCGGGGUGGGACUAAGACAUGCAAGUUGAGCGUCUCUAAGCUAUGGUAGAGACGCGGCAUACGGCUCAGUAACACGUGGCCAACCUACCCUUAGGACGGGGACAACCCCGGGAAACUGGGACUAAUAUCCGAUAGAUUAAGAGGCCUGGAAUGGUUCUUAGUCAAAAGGGCUUUGAAACCAUGCUUUUCAACGUCGCCUAAGGAUGGGGCCGCGCCCGAUCAGGCUGUUGGUGGGGUAAUGGCUCACCAAACCUAUAACCGGUGCGGGCCGUGAGAGCGGGAGCCCGGAGAUGGGCACUGAGACAAGGGCCCAGGCCCUACGGGGCGCAGCAGUCGCGAAAACUCCGCAAUGCGCGAAAGCGUGACGGGGCUACCCCGAGUGCCGUCCGCUGAGGAUGGCUUUUCCCCGGUGUAAUGAGCCGGGGGAAUAAGGAGAGGGC